UCUCGGGGCGCCAGUCUUAUUGGAUUAAGAGAGCCGAAUGGCUACUAGAUUUCUUAUUUGGAUACUUAAGUGACUAGACUGGAGGUAAGGUCCCUGGUCGAGCAUUGCUCUCGGGGCGCCAGUCUUAUUGGAUUAAGAGAGCCGAAUGGCUACUAGAUUUCUUAUUUGGAUACUUAAGUGACCAGACUGGAGGUAAGGUCCCUGGUCGAGCAUUGCUCUCGGGGCGCCAGUCUUAUUGGAUUAAGAGAGCCGAAUGGCUACUAGAUUUUGGGGUUUAGGGUUCUACCGAGCCACUCGUCC
rnacentral:lncRNA from 1 species